GCGGGGGGCUCUGGGAGUCGUAGUUCGCCGCGAGGGGCCGUUGGGGGCGGCGCGCAGCCUCGCCGACAGCCAUGGCGGCGGGGGCGGCCGGCGGCGGCGUGAGGUGUGGUGUGCGCGAAGCGCCUCUCCGGGGGCAGGUCGGGGCCCGGGGGCAGGUCGGGGCCCGGGGGAGAGGCGUCGCGGUGCCCCACGGCGGGGAGCCGGGCCCGGCGCUGCGGCCGGCAGGUUUGACGGGCAGGGCAGAAAAUACCCCCUCGCUCAUGCUCCAGCGUGACAUUGGCGUCUCGGCGCUGAUCCUGGUGAUAUUUUACGCGCUCCGCCCCCGGAGAAACCUCAUCCUACUUACACUGCCAACCGCAAGCGUCCAGCAAUCGUGAGUCAGCCCUGCCAAACAUCGCAAGCAGAGAUAAGUGCUCCCGAGAUUAAUAAACGAAAAUAGCCCCCCGACAGUCUUCCCAGCACAGGAUCACGAUUUGUCCUUUGCCUCGUCUCGGAGGGUGCAAGGCUGAAUUGUGCAGCCACAACACUGACACGUUGCUCGCAUUGUAAGGAAUCACAAGGAGUUUCUUCAGAGCUUGAAGCCGUUGGAUCAAAAGGGAAAUGUUAUUCCACAGCUGUUGAAGUUGUGAAAACAUAUGAAAUCUAAGACUGAUAAUAAUUUUUUUUUAUUUAAAAAAAAUCCAAGAAAACAUUUUUUAAACAAAUAACCAGCAAGCUGCAACGUCUGAAAUCGACGUAAUGAAAUGAGUAGAAGCUUGAAAGCAGUCUGUAAGAAAAUGACAAUUGGUGAUAUUUGGUGAUUAUCCCAAGAGAAAAGAAAAAAGUAAACAAAGAUGCAAAUAGUGACAAUUAAGUUCCAUGAAAAGGAAUUUCAGUCUUUUAAUAGCUGAAUUAAUUUAAUUUAACUAGAAAUGUAGGCCAAAAGAUUUUUUUUUGUUUAUGGACUUUCAUGAGUAAGUUGAUAGAGGUCCUCAAAGGAAUAGACUUGCUAGCUGCAAUUUCUGUAUGGUACAGCCUACUUUUGUCUUUAGUUUAUGAAAUUUGGUCUAGUUUGUCAUGACUACUUUCUUUGUUAAAAGGUAAAAUGCACAUUGGGCAAAUAUUCUUUGGCAAUUUGCAUAAAAAGUGAUGACAAAGAGCAAUUAGUUCUUCAUUAUUAUGCAGUGAAAUGCUACUUUGCUCCUAAGUGACUGUAGAGUAGGGUUUUUUUUUCUCUGUGUGUAAAUCUGUUGCGGCAUUGUUCUAAAAAUAGUACUGAAGAGCCCUCUGCACUCUUUAUAAAUCAGGGUCUUUGACACUCGAUUUGGUUCACCGAGGAGAGAUUUUUUUCACAUGAUCUUAACACUGCAAGUAUCACCCAAAAUGUUUAUCACAAUGAUAAGCAUCAGAAUUUUUUUAGAUAAAGCAAGAUAGAGGAAUUUAAUUUUUUGUCAAAUUAGAUCUCUAUCCUUUUUAUCUGGAGAUCAGUAUUCAAAGUGUACUCAGAUCACACACAAAUAGAAACAUAUUCCUACCACACACAGCUAAUCUGUACAGAACAAAGAGUCAAGGUAUCGUUUUCUAUGAAAGCUUGAUUCUGAGUACAGAUUCCAUUACUGGCUCACCAUAGGAUAAUGAAAUUCCUUUAGGGCAAAGACGAAGUACAUCAAAGAGGCAGUGUGGAGAGGCAGACUUUGUUAGUGCAUGCUCUGUCACCUGCAUUACUGGUUCUUGCCUGCCUUUAAUUUGUAAGGAAAUGCUAGUAAUUCAAAACCUUUUUUUGGACCAACAGAUAGAUAUGGAUAUGUAUAUGUGUGUGUGUGUGUGUAUAUAUAUUUAUAUAUGUACACACACAACCACACAGCCACAAAUAUAUAUUUCUCAAAAUACAAAACCUUCUGGAAGUUGUGUGAUUUCUUUGCAGCUGAAAUGGAAUACAAAAAAUAAUUCAUUUCUUACUUGGAAAAAUGACCUAUACAGAUCUUAAAAGCAUAUCUCUAUUAAGUUAAAAUAAAUGCUGUCUGUGCCAUGUAGAUAAAUAAUGCUUCAUGCAACCUUGCCUGUUUAUUUCUCUAGCAAUUGAGAGUAAAUUUAGUGCUUAUGGAAAUGAGGGACUAAUGCUUUGGAAGACCAAGAGCUGCUGAAGACCUAUGGGAACAAAACGGUUGCCCUACAGAAACACAUAAUGGUUCUAUCUAGUCCAGCAUCCUGCUUCUGGCAGCAUCCAAUAACCGAUGCUUCAGAGCAAAUCAAAACCACAGCGAGCACCUAGCUAACUAUGUGUAGAGGAAAAAAGGUUGAUCCUGACUCACAAGAGAGCAGUUUAUGCCCUGAAGCAUGGGGUUUGAUUUCCCUUGUAUCCGUUUGCUUAACUCACACAAUUGCAAAUACUAUUUAUGCUUAAAAGAGUUUCUAAUCCUCUCUUGGAUCCUAAUCAACAAUCUGCCUCAAUAACCUGAGUUACCAGGAAGUUCUUUGGACUGAAUGUACGCUGCAUGGAAGCUUUUUGCUUUGUUAGUUUAGGGAAAGUUUUCCAGCUUUGGUCUAACACCCACUGCCCUGAGGAUCAGACCUAACAGUCUACAUGAAAAAUCCCCAAGCUACCACUCCCUUCCCCUUGAGUCCUCCAUAACUGAAUCAGUUAAUUCUUUCCUGUCCCCUGCUUGCAAAAUUAUUGUUUUUGAGUUGAUUUCUUUCAUUGACUUCCCUAGCGGCUCCACUUUCUAGCCUUCUAGAAGACUGGGGCAGGUCCUUCCGUAGGAGAGAGGUCUGCCUGGAGGCAGGGGAUGCUGCCUGGCCUUGCUGCCUCCCAUGUUUCAAAAGAGAGGGCAGCAGCGGGCAGAGAAACAAGGCAGAGAAGGAGCUCAGGGAAGGCAGCAGUGAUGGCAGCUCCUUGCUGCUCUGCCAGCAUUUCCUCAUGAAGUAGCAGAGGCUCCAUUUUGGCUAUUCUGUGGAAAUAUGCAAUGUGUCCUGGAAGACUCCCUCUCUUUCCCAGCCUACUCCAAAUUUUCUACUGAUGCAGCUAAGAGUGCAGGCAGCCCUUUCAAAUCUUCCCUUUGAGGACUUUGAACUGCCUUGAGUGUCCUCACUGAGUGGUCUGGGUUCCUUUAUGGUGGAGCAAUAAUCCUCCCGACACUCUCUCCAUGGAGUGAGGGUUUCUUCCAUGUACAUCUCCAAACGGUUACUUAAAUCCCAGCACAUGGACCUUAACAGUAAUACCAGAAAGGCAGAUCCAAAAAUGGCUUAAAUACUCCCAGUGGGACAUAAGUGCUUAAGCCUGAAGAUAUGACCCUGAACUCCUGAACAGAGAUGUGCCUCCUAAGCAAAGAGGUGCCCAAGCUCCGUAGGGCCAAAAGGUUUUUGUCUAAAGUUUUGCAUUUGCUGCCUGAAGUUGUCAGCUCUGCACAUGCGCAGACAAGUCUCAGUUUUGUCAGUGCUAAGCAGGCUGGUGCCUAAGGGUGUGCUUCCAAGACAGCUCAAAACAGUUCUAAUCAGCAUUGCUGCAGUCCCAUCCUUACCUCUGGCGGUGUUUUCUGCUUCUCCCCCCUUCCUCCCCCUUGUGCUGGCACUGAUACUUGUCUGACCCUGAAGUAAGCUGGUUCAGGAGCUAAAGUGGCUACACAUUUCUUUGUAGGAUUAGUUUUCUGCCAGCUUAACUUCCUGAACCAGCUGACUGGGAGAUCAGACAAGACCAGGACUAGCACAAAGGAGGGAGUGGGAAGGACUGGCUGGGGACAGGGCAGAGCAGCAGGGACUUACUUGCAGCCUCAAAAGCCCAGCCACGAGGCAACCGUCAGCCUGAUAACCUGCCACAAGGUGCUCUGCUCGCUCGAUGCUCCUCGGUGCUGAGGCUCUCCAGCAUCAGAGGUGUGGGGUAGAGAGCCAGCAGCACCUCUGCAUUUUAGCAAGAGGCAGUGCUGUAAGUCCGGGGAAGACAGGCAGAUUGGUGGAGUGGGGGCAGCAGGAACAAGGCACUGGAGUGGGAUAGCCACUGUGCUCAGAAGGUGAAGAAAAGAAUGGUGAGUAUGGUAGCUCAUUGCAAGUUGAGGGCUGGGAAGCUCUUGAAAGCCAUGAGCCCCCUUUCGCGAGAGGCAGAGGCACCAGGUGAGUUGGGAGUGCAGCAAGGGAUGGGAACAAGCAGUCAGCAGGAGGAAUAAGGAGGGCCAUGCAAAUAUUUUACUGGAUCUGGCCUAUUUCCCCUCAUCCUUUCACCAUAUAGUCGUCCAUGCCGCUACUUCUAUUACCUGUCCCAGGGUCUCUUCAGUUAUAGCUAUAGCUGUAUCAAAAACCAAACAAAAGCCCCAAGUCAGGGCUGUUGUUUUGCACUGAUGUCCACACAGGGAAUGCAGCCUGCGAAAUACAAAGGUCUGAAACUGAAUGUGAUGUGUCAGUCUGUUUAUCUAGGAUGGCUUAUGUUGUUUUAUUUGCUUAAGUGACAUUAUCUGCAUCU